AAUUCUCAACCUUGAGUUUCGACUCUUGGAUUGGACUUUGGAGCGUGCUGGCGUCCCGCGUCGGCUCCUCUUAAAUGCAUCAGCGGAAAUCUAACCUUUGGCUUUUCGAACGUCAGUGUGAUAAUUGUGUUGCGCUGUCUUCAGAGUCGGAGUUUCGCUUACAGUGGUCUUCGGACAACUCUUAUCAA
rnacentral:misc_RNA from 1 species